UACGGAGGGUGCAAGCGUUAAUCGGAAUUACUGGGCGUAAAGCGUGCGCAGGCGGUUUGUUAAGUCUGUUGUGAAAUCCCCGAGCUCAACUUGGGAAUUGCAAUGGAUACUGGCAGGCUGGAGUAUGGUAGAGGAAGGUGGAAUUCCCGGUGUAGCAGUGAAAUGCGUAGAGAUCGGGAGGAACACCAGUGGCGAAGGCGGCCUUCUGGACCAAUACUGACGCUCGUGCACGAAAGCGUGGGGAGCAAACAGG
rnacentral:rRNA from 1 species